rnacentral:lncRNA from 1 species
AGUAAACUAAGGCCGUGUUCACAUUGACCUAACCUCGGUGUUGUGUAAGUGUAACUCACACGUAAACUGAACAAAAUUACGUUCCCAUUGAUAAAAUUCAAUGUUUACAUGUAGUGUAAAACAUGUUUUGUCUACAUGCAGUCGAUACUCGAUGUAGGCCUUGUGUAGAUUAAGUGUACACAAAACUAGGCAUUUAAAAACAUUAGUUUCACCGUGUAUAUUUAAGGAAGAAACAAUUUUUGAAUAAAAUUGAUAUUUAUAACAAUUAUUAAUAAAGUUCUUUACAGAAAUAUUUGUCUAAACUUG